rnacentral:rRNA from 1 species
UGUGGGGGGAUUAGUGGCGAACGGGUGAGUAACACGUGAGUAACCUGCCCUUAACUCUGGGAUAAGCCUGGGAAACUGGGUCUAAUACCGGAUAUGACUCCUCAUCGCAUGGUGGGGGGUGGAAAGCUUUUUGUGGUUUUGGAUGGACUCGCGGCCUAUCAGCUUGUUGGUGAGGUAAUGGCUUACCAAGGCGACGACGGGUAGCCGGCCUGAGAGGGUGACCGGCCACACUGGGACUGAGACACGGCCCAGACUCCUACGGGAGGCAGCAGUGGGGAAUAUUGCACAAUGGGCGCAAGCCUGAUGCAGCGACGCCGCGUGAGGGAUGACGGCCUUCGGGUUGUAAACCUCUUUCAGUAGGGAAGAAGCGAAAGUGACGGUACCUGCAGAAGAAGCGCCGGCUAACUACGUGCCAGCAGCCGCGGUAAUACGUAGGGCGCAAGCGUUAUCCGGAAUUAUUGGGCGUAAAGAGCUCGUAGGCGGUUUGUCGCGUCUGCCGUGAAAGUCCGGGGCUCAACUCCGGAUCUGCGGUGGGUACGGGCAGACUAGAGUGAUGUAGGGGAGACUGGAAUUCCUGGUGUAGCGGUGAAAUGCGCAGAUAUCAGGAGGAACACCGAUGGCGAAGGCAGGUCUCUGGGCAUUAACUGACGCUGAGGAGCGAAAGCAUGGGGAGCGAACAGGAUUAGAUACCCUGGUAGUCCAUGCCGUAAACGUUGGGCACUAGGUGUGGGGGGACAUUCCACGUUUUCCGCGCCGUAGCUAACGCAUUAAGUGCCCCGCCUGGGGAGUACGGCCGCAAGGCUAAAACUCAAAGGAAUUGACGGGGGCCCGCACAAGCGGCGGAGCAUGCGGAUUAAUUCGAUGCAACGCGAAGAACCUUACCAAGGCUUGACAUGAACCGGUAAUACCUGGAGACAGGUGCCCCGCUUGCGGUCGGUUUACAGGUGGUGCAUGGUUGUCGUCAGCUCGUGUCGUGAGAUGUUGGGUUAAGUCCCGCAACGAGCGCAACCCUCGUUCUAUGUUGCCAGCACGUGAUGGUGGGGACUCAUAGGAGACUGCCGGGGUCAACUCGGAGGAAGGUGGGGACGACGUCAAAUCAUCAUGCCCCUUAUGUCUUGGGCUUCACGCAUGCUACAAUGGCCGGUACAAAGGGUUGCGAUACUGUGAGGUGGAGCUAAUCCCAAAAAGCCGGUCUCAGUUCGGAUUGGGGUCUGCAACUCGACCCCAUGAAGUCGGAGUCGCUAGUAAUCGCAGAUCAGCAACGCUGCGGUGAAUACGUUCCCGGGCCUUGUACACACCGCCCGUCAAGUCACGAAAGUUGGUAACACCCGAAGCCG